ensembl:lncRNA
GCUUCACUUGUUACCUCCAACAUCUAAGGAGGGAAGUCUUCAAAGAUUAGCACAUCAGAUGCUGCUCACCACCUAAUGAAAUUCAUCAAGGUGGGAGGUAGCACGGAGGCUUUUCUUAAGGCUGGCCCCACUCAGCCAUUCGUCCUGUGUGUUGGAGAAAGAAAGAACAUCAUCCAGAGUUUCUACAUUGUCCUAGAUCAAAAGGCAUUGAACAACUUCUACACAUUCAUCCAGACCACCGUGUAUGGCAUUGAUGUUGGCAGUGUGAAGGAGAGUCCUCGGGUCAGGGAAACAAGAGGAAGUCUUCAUUGUACAGUUUAAAGAUAUCCACUAUUCAGCACUUUGACUGGAAAUGUUCAUCUGUUACAUUUGCAAGAUACACCACACAAGUUGCUCAGUGUUAUUUAGACAUUUGAAGUUCCAGCAUGGUUUGUACCCAGGAAGGUUUUUACGUUUGACCUGUGGAGAGCCUGGAUGUUCAUUCAUCUUUCGCACGUACUCUGAUUACAAGCGGCACUUACUCCGAGCACAUGGAGACUGUCUUCACUCUGAGGUCAUCAAUACUUUUGAGCCUGUACCUAACGAUGGAACCUCUGUUUCACAGCCUGUAAAUGUGGCUCAUCCCAUGACAAUUACUACACAGGUUCCAGUUGAAAAAAGGCAAAUACUGAACAUGUGCAGCUCUGUUAUUGCUCAGGUACAAUCAUUAGGAGUUCCUGAAAGUACUGUGCAGUGUUUAGUUGUUUCAUUGGAGGAACUGGUUAAUGACAUCCAUGCGCAUGCAAAACAAUCUGUUGUUGACUGUUUGUCAACUGAUACCAUGAUACAGACAUCAAGUUGGGAUGUAUGUUUGUUCUGGUGUUGAAAAUGAGAUGCCUUUGUUCAGUAAGAUUGUCAAUAUAAUUAUUAGAUUGCAAUGCUUAUCUUCUAACUUGUAAGGCUUCAACAGUAUAUUUCAAUGAGCACUUAAAUGCAUUUGUUAUUGAGGAUGGAUUAGAUGUCUUUGCACUGAUCUCUGUAGAUGAUCUAGUGUACUAUAGACCUUAUGAUAGGCAAUUUUCAAAUGGCACUGAUGACAAAAUGUACAUUGUCCCAUACUGUAAUUUUGUAUAACUUGUUUAUUUGUGGUGUAUCAGAAUACAAAGUGUUUUGGAACGUUAAUGUCUUGUAUUUCUUUGUAAUGGGUAGAUGUUAGGGGUUACUUGUAGCAGUAGAGAUAUCAG